CCUUCCUCCUCGUAGCGAGCUCGAGGCGAGGGAGAUGUCCCUGGCGGCGUCGAAGCAGCAGGCGAACCUGCUAAAGCAAGAGGGCAACACUUUCUUCAAGGAGGAACGCAUCAACGCCGCCAUCGACGCCUACACCGGGUUGCCAUGGACAUUUGAAAGACAAGGUACCAAGUUGGAAUGGCGUUGGAAGCUGCAGCCUUCACCUAAUACACAGUAGACUAAAUCUGAGAUCCUGGGUUUUCUUAUGGUUGCAAAAAUACGCUUGAGUUUUGUGGCUGUCUUAAACUCAAAGAAGGCUAAGCUCAGACAGCUUAGAGACAAAGCUGCUGAAUUCGAAUCUGCUGACAAGCCUCCAAAGGAGGAAGAGGAGAACUGAACGGACAGAACAGAGCUCUUCGAGGGAGGAGGCGACAAAGAGGCAAGCGUCAACGAUGAGCCAUCAGAGACAGGCAGCGACCAUCUUCAUUCUUCAUAGCUCUUCUAAGAAAUCCGCAGCCACCACCAGAGGGAGGAGAGGUCACAAGAGGACAAGAAAAUAGGCUGAAGAAUGCAAGCUCACUGCUGGACUGAACAUAACAGGACCUACGUGGAAAAUGUUGAUCCUUGUGAAGUCCAUCUGCAGCUGACCCAUGAUCUAUCAUGCCAGUGUGAUCCUGACACGUGGGCUUUAUAUUAAAAAAAAAGAAAAAUAACAGUGUGGUACUACACUAAAACCUAUAGUAGUUUCUAAAUGGUUUUGCAAAAUGCCUUUAGUUCUGCAAUAUUUACCCACAGAAAAAAAAUCAAAUUUAGUUUAAGUAACACACUGCAUGAAGAUU